rnacentral:antisense_RNA from 1 species
CUUCACCGACCCCAGCCACAACGGCUCCUCACGAUCCUGGCCGUAGGUGGCGAGCAAGGCCUGUGCUUC